GUAGGGAAUAUUGGGCAAUGGAUGCAAGUCUGACCCAGCCAUCCCGCGUGCCGGAAGAAGGCCCUCAGGGUUGUAAACGGCUUUUGACGGUGAAGAAUCGACAGGAUGCGUCCUGUUUUGACGGUAGCCGUUGAAUAAGCACCGGCUAACUCCGUGCCAGCAGCCGCGGUAAUACGGAGGGUGCGAGCGUUGUCCGGAUUUAUUGGGUUUAAAGGGUGCGUAGGUUGGAAGGUCAGUCAGAGGUGAAAAGCUAUCGCUUAACGAUAGUCUUGCCGCAGAUACUUCCUUUCUUGGAUGAGGAGGAGGCCACUGGAACGGAUGGUGUAGCGGUGAAAUGCAUAGAUAUCAUCCAGAACACCGAUUGCGAAGGCAGGUGGCUGUACCUUAAUCGACGCUGAUGCACGAAAGCAUGGGGAGCAAACAGGAUUAGAAACCCGGGUAGUCC
rnacentral:rRNA from 1 species